rnacentral:rRNA from 1 species
UACGUAGGGUGCAGGCGUUAAUCGGAAUUACUGGGCGUAAAGCGUGCGCAGGCGGUUUGCUAAGACAGGUGUGAAAUCCCCCGGCUUAACCUGGGAACUGCGUCUGAUACUGGAAGGCUUGAGUAUGGGAGAGGGAUGUAGAAUUCCAGGUGUAGCGGUGAAAUGCGUAGAUAUCUGGAGGAAUACCGGUGGCGAAGGCGGCAUCCUGGACCAUUACUGACGCUGAGGCGCGAAAGCUAGGGGAGCAAACGGG